rnacentral:rRNA from 1 species
CGGCGGACGGGUGAGUAAUGUAUGGGGAUCUGCCUGAUGGCGGGGGAUAACUACUGGAAACGGUAGCUAAUACCGCAUAAUGUCUACGGACCAAAGCGGGGGACCCCGGGCCUCGCGCCAUCAGAUGAACCCAUAUGGGAUUAGCUUGUAGGUAAGGUAACGGCUUACCUAGGCGACGAUCCCUAGCUGGUCUGAGAGGAUGAUCAGCCACACUGGGACUGAGACACGGCCCAG